UGAUAUGAAGGUACCACAGAGGCCGAUGUCAAAUCAGAGAAAUCUCAGAGUAGCUGCCUUCGGACGAUCCUCCACCACCACCACCAACACCAGGCACUGAGGAAUCUAAGGGCUCAGGCCGCCAGGCCUCCAUGAACACCCCAGAGACUGCAGAUUCAGACUUCCUGACUGGUGUCGCAUCCUCGGCACGCUUGCCUUGGCCCCACCCCCAAUUAUUUCACUUCUCAGUCCAGCGUUUCCCGAGGUUCGCCGACAAGAAUCCACCCAGCAAUUAUCUCCCUUCUCGCGCGCAUGGGGGGACAUUAACCACGAACGCGCUGGAGAAGAAAGGGUCGCCCGGAGCAGCAGCUACUGAGUCAACGCUGCACCGGGGACGCCUCGACCCUGGCCGCAGGCGGGGUCCCGCCGUCCGGCGGAGGAGAGGAGAAAGCAGAUGGUGGUGAUUACAGGGCACAGUAAAGUUUCCCUCUCUCUCAGGUCUGGAAACCUGGAGGGAUGGGUGCGGCAGGAGAUGGGGAACUCCCGCCAAGGAACUCCGUGAGAGCUCAGAGCCCAACCACCUGCUUCUCGCCCGUGGGAGGGGACACACACCCCCUCUUCUGAGAGCAGACAGGAGGCUGCGACCAUCUCGUCCAGCUUUAUGCUUGGAGCAAAGCUUGAAAAAGCCUCGGCUGCCGCCCGGAUGGCUGAUGGUGGUGGCGGUGAGGGGGUCUCUUUCCUCUCUAGUUCUUGCUCCCCCACCCCCUCCCCCGGCUGCUGACGGGCAACAGAAAGUGAGGAAGUUUGCAAAUAAGGGGAGUUGUCCUAACAUAGCCAUCACACUCACGCGUCCAUACCUUGAGGGCUCGGCCGUGGUCCUCGGGAGGCUUCCAAAAAAGCUGCUUCCCAACAAACCUCUCCCAGCCAAGCCCUAACUGUGGAACCCACGGCUUAGGAGGAGGACACGGCGAAGAGGGAAGGAUUAGCAAACGCGACAGAGUCUUCCCAGGAAAUCCAAGUUCUAUCAGUCCCUUUGGACCUUUCCACGGGCUGUUUCUUUGAAAAUACAUCAACAAAUAAACACCGUCCACAGAGAGAUCCCAACAGCCGUGGGGAGAACUGAGGCAGGGUAGGAAGUGGAGAGCACGCAGGAGGCCAAGAAGGCGAGGGGCAAGUUCUAGGCAAGCGGAUUAUGUUACACUUCCUCCUAUUACCAGACUUCCAGGAGGAGACACCUCGAUUUGUGCAUAAAAUGCAUACCCUGAAGUGGAUAAGACUCUGAAAGCAGCGUUUGAGGAGGUUAACCUUGACUGGUUGGAGUUAAGGGGGGGUGGGGGGAAGCAAAUAUUUCUGUUUGUGCCCUCCGGCUCUUCCCAGCACCGGCUGUCAAUCCCGACGCUUGUUAUCCUCACAAGGCUUCAGUUUGUUUGCCUGAUCUCAGCAAGGUUUUCUUCCACAAGUAGAACUAUAAUUGCUAUAAUUCUACUGUAUCAUUUGGAUCAUUGCAGUAUUGUUGUUUUCUCUCUCUCUUUCUCUCCUCCUAACACUGCAAUAACGCGCUCCAGUGUUAAAUUAGCAGGUUGCGGAAGACCAUAAAUGAAUGAAAGUUUGUUUAAAAAAAAAAAAGAAAUUAAAUAAAUAAAACAGCAAAAUGACUUGGCAAAAGGGAUAUCACAUCACAGAGAAUCCUUGCGUGUAAUCAGGUCUUAUUGUCUUCUCUUCCAGUGGCUUCCAAAUUGGUCGCUAGAUUCCAAUGAAGUUUAUUUCUAUUGUUUAAAUAUAUGUUUUGAAGAGGCUGAUCGUAAUUUAAGGGGACCUGAGCCGUCCGGUGCAACUGGAAGCCCAUCACAGCUUGAUUUAUCUAUGUGUAUAUUGCACAAUAAAUUAAAACAUCUCAAAUGAAAAGUAUGUGAGGUUAACUCUCUUCCAAACAUUUUUUUUUUCUGGAUAAUGACAUCUAACUGCCACCCCCCC
rnacentral:lncRNA from 1 species